rnacentral:rRNA from 1 species
GACGAACGCUGGCGGCGUGCUUAACACAUGCAAGUCGAACGGUAAGGCCCUUCGGGGUACACGAGUGGCGAACGGGUGAGUAACACGUGGGUGAUCUGCCCUGCACUUCGGGAUAAGCCUGGGAAACUGGGUCUAAUACCGGAUAGGACCACUGCCUGCAUGGGUGGUGGUGGAAAGCUUUUGCGGUGUGGGAUGGGCCCGCGGCCUAUCAGCUUGUUGGUGGGGUGACGGCCUACCAAGGCGACGACGGGUAGCCGGCCUGAGAGGGUGACCGGCCACACUGGGACUGAGAUACGGCCCAGACUCCUACGGGAGGCAGCAGUGGGGAAUAUUGCACAAUGGGCGCAAGCCUGAUGCAGCGACGCCGCGUGAGGGAUGACGGCCUUCGGGUUGUAAACCUCUUUCAGCACCGACAAAGCGCAAGUGACGGUAGGUGCAGAAGAAGGACCGGCCAACUACGUGCCAGCAGCCGCAGUAA